CUGCGGACAUAUCAAGUUAAAACAGCGGUUCCCGUACGAUCAUCAAAGUUAAGUAACUUCGAGCUUGGUUAGAAUCUAGAUGGGUGACCGCUUGAGAAUACCAGGUGCUGCAAG